UUAAAAAAAAGAGAAGAAGAAGAAGCAGGGGGAGGAGACGAAGAAGAAGGGGUGUGCGUACUGUGCUCUUUGCUGUGUCUUUCCGCCGUUUUAAAAAAUGGGCACUUUUUGAAGAACCCGUAUCAAAGUAUUGUGGAGAAGCGUCGUGUUAAAUCUAAUCGAUGAACGGCUUUUUGUCAGUUCUGACGAGGACAGCUGAGUGAUGUUGUUGGUGAGCUUGGAUUAAAUCAUCUCUAAACAAAGAACUUGUCCUCGUGGUGACUGACUUGGGAGUGGAGGUCAGUGAGCCCAUUGUCUCUGCUGGUCCGACUCAACUACAAAGCCGGCCCGCUCGCCCCCUCCUGAGUCUGAGAGGAGAUCCAGAGAGAAAGAAGUGAAAGCAGGCCGAAACCUCAGCACAUGGAUGAUAUCAACCAAAAACAUCCAGCACCAGCAAGUAAAGAUGAGCCAGCGGCGAUCCCUGUGGAAAAGACUUUUCCCGCUAUGAAGCAGCCCAGAAGACGCAAGCGCGCCAACAGGGAGGGCAGAAGCUUGAGCUGUGAUCAGUGUGGGAAGUCUUUUACUCAGAUUUGUAACUUGAAAUCACAUCAGCUGAUCCACGCCGGUGUGAAACCAUUCAGCUGUGAUCAGUGUGGGAAGACCUUUACUCAGAAAUAUCAUUUAAAGGUACAUCAGCUGAUCCACAGCGGUGUGAAACCAUUCAGCUGUGGUGAGUGCGGAAAGUCUUUUAUUCAGAGUCACCGCUUAAAAGCACAUCAGCUCGUCCACAGUGAAGUUAAACCAUUCAGCUGUGAUCAAUGUGGAAAGACCUUUACUCAGAGAUGCAGC